rnacentral:misc_RNA from 1 species
GAUGAAGAACGCAGCGAAAUGCGAUAAGUAAUGUGAAUUGCAGAAUUCAGUGAAUCAUCGAAUCUUUGAACGCACCUUGCGCCCUUUGGCCAUUCCGAAGGGCAUGCCUGUUUGAGUAUCAUGAACACCUCAACUCUUCAUGGUUUUCCGUGAUGAGCUUGGACUUUGGGGGUCUUGCUGGCCUAUGGUCAGCUCCUCUAAAAUAAAUCAGCUUGCCAGUGUUUGGUGGGUAUCACAGGUGUGAUAACUAUCUACGCUUGUGGUUUUCCACCAGGUAACCUUCAGCAGUGGAGGUUCGCUGGAGCUCACAGAUGUGUCUCGCCUCAGUGAGGACAGCUCUUUGAAUGUUUGAUCUCAAAUCAGGUAGGACUACCCGCUGAACUUAAGCAUAUCAAUAAGCGGAGGA